GUACUACUCCCUCCGUUCCAAAAUUUGUUUAAAUAUGAAUGUAUCUAAUCAAGUUUUAGUAUUUGGAUACAUCCAUUUUUAAACAAAACUAAGACAAGAAUUUUGGGACGGAGCGAGUAUAUA
rnacentral:pre_miRNA from 1 species